rnacentral:rRNA from 1 species
AUUGAACGCUGGCGGCAGGCCUAACACAUGCAAGUCGAGCGGAUGAAGGGAGCUUGCUCCUGGAUUCAGCGGCGGACGGGUGAGUAAUGCCUAGGAAUCUGCCUGGUAGUGGGGGAUAACGUCCGGAAACGGGCGCUAAUACCGCAUACGUCCUGAGGGAGAAAGUGGGGGAUCUUCGGACCUCACGCUAUCAGAUGAGCCUAGGUCGGAUUAGCUAGUUGGUGGGGUAAAGGCCUACCAAGGCGACGAUCCGUAACUGGUCUGAGAGGAUGAUCAGUCACACUGGAACUGAGACCCGGUCCAGACUCCUACGGGAGGCAGCAGUGGGGAAUAUUGGACAAUGGGCGAAAGCCUGAUCCAGCCCUGCCGCGUGUGUGAAGAAGGUCUUCGGAUUGUAAAGCACUUUAAGUUGGGAGGAAGGGCAGUAAGUUAAUACCUUGCUGUUUUGACGUUACCAACAGAAUAAGCACCGGCUAACUUCGUG